rnacentral:rRNA from 1 species
UGUUGGGUGGAUGAGUGGCGAACGGGUGAGUAACACGUGAGUAACCUGCCCCCUUCUUUGGGAUAACGCCCGGAAACGGGUGCUAAUACUGGAUAUUCACUGAUCUUCGCAUGGGGGUUGGUGGAAAGGUUUGUUCUGGUGGGGGAUGGGCUCGCGGCCUAUCAGCUUGUUGGUGGGGUGAUGGCCUACCAAGGCUUUGACGGGUAGCCGGCCUGAGAGGGUGACCGGUCACAUUGGGACUGAGAUACGGCCCAGACUCCUACGGGAGGCAGCAGUGGGGAAUAUUGCACAAUGGGCGAAAGCCUGAUGCAGCGACGCCGCGUGAGGGAUGGAGGCCUUCGGGUUGUAAACCUCUUUCGCUCAUGGUCAAGCCGCAACUGUGGGUUGUGGUGAGGGUAGUGGGUAAAGAAGCGCCGGCUAACUACGUGCCAGCAGCCGCGGUAAUACGUAGGGCGCGAGCGUUGUCCGGAAUUAUUGGGCGUAAAGGGCUUGUAGGCGGUUGGUCGCGUCUGCCGUGAAAUCCUCUGGCUUAACUGGGGGCGUGCGGUGGGUACGGGCUGACUUGAGUGCGGUAGGGGAGACUGGAACUCCUGGUGUAGCGGUGGAAUGCGCAGAUAUCAGGAAGAACACCGGUGGCGAAGGCGGG